CCUACGGGGGGCUGCAGUGGGGAAUAUUGGACAAUGGGGGGAACCCUGAUCCAGCCAUGCCGCGUGUGUGAAGAAGGCCCUCGGGUUGUAAAGCACUUUCAGUGAGGAAGAACGCCUGGUGGUUAAUACCCAUCAGGAAAGACAUCACUCACAGAAGAAGCACCGGCUAACUCCGUGCCAGCAGCCGCGGUAAUACGGAGGGUGCGAGCGUUAAUCGGAAUUACUGGGCGUAAAGCGCGCGUAGGUGGCUUGAUAAGCCGGUUGUGAAAGCCCCGGGCUCAACCUGGGAACGGCAUCCGGAACUGUCAAGCUAGAGUGCAGGAGAGGAAGGUAGAAUUCCCGGUGUAGAGGUGAAAUGCGUAGAGAUCGGGAGGAAUACCAGUGGCGAAGGCGGCCUUCUGGACUGACACUGACACUGAGGUGCGAAAGCGUGGGUAGCAAACAGGAUUAGAUACCCGUGUAGUC
rnacentral:rRNA from 1 species